ACCCGAACCGUCGCGCGCCACCUUCCGGAACCCGACCCGCGCCCGCGUGCAUCCGUGCGCGAGCCGCGUCCGCGUGUGAAGCCGCGCCGCGCGCUUCUGCGUAGCCGAGCCGCGUCUCCCUCCUGUUGCAAGCCGAGCCGCACGCGUAAUCCCUGUGCCGAGCCGAGCCGCGCCUGCGCCAAGCCGAGCCGGUCCCUGUCCUCUUCCAGCCGAGCCGCCAAGACUAAUUUGGCUCCAUCCACCUAAAUUUUGGGACGUCUUGGACCAAGUAAUUGCUGCAGCGCGGGAUUUCUUCAGUAGGGGCUCGAGCACUGCAACCUCCUUCUAGGUUAGGACCUCGUCGCUUGGAAAGCGUACUGCCUCGCGGUUAGGACUCUACAAGUAAAUCUCCAG